CCUAUUUGUUUGAAUUCCUAUUGAUCAUUGGCUUCUCAGUGGUUUUAACAGCAUGGUUGUACAAACUGUUGCAAUUCUGGAGAUAUUUCCGUUAUUCCCCCACUUGAGGGCACCACUGAGCUGCAGUAUAAUGAUAUGAAGGGGGGGAAUUAUUGUCAUUGAAUGUAUAAUAUAAUAAUAUAACAUUCUUGUCAUACAUUUGUUAAGUGUGAUUUGAGACUUGUAAAUAUGUAGAUUUUUGUUACUGGAAAUAAAGUAAACACCAACCAAAAUUAAUUAAAAAAACUUAAUUUAAAACAAUUUUACUAAACUUCUAAAAAAAAAUUAAAUGAUAACAGAAAAUAUAAAAAUUGAAAAGCUUAUUCAAAAACCUAUUAAUAAAACCUAUAAUUGUAUCUCAAAGAUACUAAAAUAGCUGUUUCAAGAUCACUGUUUCCACCAUGAAUAAUACUCCAGUACUCCUUUAAAAUAUCCAAAAGCCAGUGGACUCACACAGUCUCUAAUCAUUAACAAUCCCGGCCGACAUGCACUUUAACCUGCUCUAUCCCAGUCUCUCAAGCUCAAACAGUGAAGGGAGAGAUCGACGGACAUCGAAAAGAAAAAGAGAGUGAGAAGUAGAGAAGAGGUGAGGAAUUAGGAGAUAUGACUGAUAGAGCCUUAAAGGUUGGAAUUGUGGGAUAUGGACAUUCAAGCUGACUGGUGGUCUGCUCUCUGAUUGGACGGAGGGAGAGGGGAGGCGGGUCUUGUACCAAGGCUCAGUAGCAGAGCUCUGCCUCAUCACCCCAAAUAAUAUUAUCAGACUACCAUAUUGUGGAGAGUAAUGUAACUAGUCCAGAUGGGUUCACAGUGAAAACGGUGUGACAAAAACCUGCCAAACUGAGAGCUGUAACAGGAAAUGCCACAUACAAUUCCUUCUGGAGCGGCUUACUUGGUAUGAGUGUGUAAGAAAGACUGACGGA